rnacentral:rRNA from 1 species
GAUGAAUGCUGGCGACAUGGAUAAGGCAUGCAAGUCGGACGGACCGCAAGGUCAGUGGCAGACGAGGUAGUAACACGUAAGUACGUACCCCAUAGUCUGGUAUAGCUCGUCGAAAGACGGGGUAAUCCCGGAUGGUCCCGCAAGGGUAAAGAUUUAUCGCUAUGGGAGCGGCUUGCGUAAUAUCAGCUUGUUGGUGAGGU